rnacentral:lncRNA from 10 species
CAUGACCGUGUGGAGAAAGUUCUUUCCCUGAGGACCAUCUGGAGUGGACGCGUGCACUACCCCUCUCUGAAUACACCCUCCCCACGAGGCCCUCUGGAGCAUCCUGUAGAGCCAGCCCCUACCCAGAGACCCUGAGCCCAGAGAAUGCGCUGGGUGGUGAGCCUGGGGACGAAUGCAGAGCCCUAGGUCUCCUCUCCAGAAGUUGGAGUGCCAUGGUGUGGUCAUAGCCCACUGAAGCCUCAAACCUCUGGGCUGAAGCCAUCCUUCCGCCUCAGCCUCCCAAGUAGCUGGGACCAUAGGUGCAUGGCACUGUGCCUGGCACUGUCUGAAUGCAUACAGCUGCGUAGCAUCGUGGUAAGAACACCCGCCCUGACAUCACACAGACCUGCAUCCACGUCCCAGCUGAGCCUCAGUUCUCACAUCUGCAAAAUGGGGAGAACAACAGCAGCAGCGUCCUGAGGCUGGGGUGAGGACCGAGUGAAAAACCUUUGUCGCAUCUUUGGGCAUCGCAGGAGUUCAAUAAAUGUUAGCUAUCGUUGUCACUU